UGCGUGAGGACUUCCCUGGAAUCGUGUAAGUCUGGGGAGGUGGUUGGUGCUCUUCUUCAUCGGAAUCACUUGGAGGAAAGCGAGGUAAUGGUCCGGGUUGUUGAUAUGGAAAGUGUGCCGCCGGGUUGAAGCUUUGGAGUUUUGUAUUGAGUGAGGCGAAAGAUGCGUUCAUAGCAUCAAACAUGUGAUCUUGUCGCAUCGCCAAUCGCCGCAUUUCCCGGCGUGCUGCUCUAUUGUGCACAUUCAUCUGAUUUUGGAACUCAAGGAACCGAGGACUGGA
rnacentral:lncRNA from 1 species